ACUCUCGGCAACGGAUAUCUCGGCUCUCGCAUCGAUGAAGAACGUAGCGAAAUGCGAUACCUGGUGUGAAUUGCAGAAUCCCGCGAACCAUCGAGUCUUUGAACGCAAGUUGCACCCGAGGCCACUCGGCCGAGGGCACGCCUGCCUGGGCGUCACGCCAAAUCAAGCUCCCAACCACCCUCUUCGGUAAUUGGGAUGCGGCAUAUGGUCCCUCGUCGUGCAAGGGGCGGUGGACCGAAGGUUGGGCUGCCGGCGUACCGCGUCGGACACAGCGCAUGGUGGGUGUUCUCGCUUUAUCAAUGCAGUGCAUCCGGCGCGUAGACGGCAUCAUGGCCUCGAAACGACCCAACGAACGAAGUGCACGUCGCUUCGACCGCGACCCCAGGUCAGGCGGGACUACCCGCUGAGUUUAAGCAUAUAAGUAAGCGGAGGAGAAAAACUUACAAGGAUUCCCCUAGUAACGGCGAGCGAACCGGGAACAGCCCAGCUUGAGAAUCGGGCGGUUGUGCCGUCCGAAUUGUAGUCUGGAGAGGCGUCCUCAGCGACGGACCGGGCCUUAGUCCCCUGGAAAGGGGCGCCUGGGAGGGUGAGAGCCCCGUCCGGCCCGGACCCUGUAGCCCCACGAGGCGCGGUCAACGAGUCGGGUUGUUUGGGAAUGCAGCCCAAAUCGGGCGGUAGACUCCGGCCAAGGCUAAAUACAGGCGAGAGACCGAUAGCGAACAAGUACCGCGAGGGAAAGAUGAAAAGGACUUUGAAAAGAGAGUCAAAGAGUGCUUGAAAUUGCCGGGAGGGAAGCGGAUGGGGGCCGGCAAUGCUCCCCGGCCGUAUGUGGAAUGGCUCUUGCUGGUCCGCCGCUUGGCUCGGGGUGUGGACUGUUGUCGGCCGCGUCGGCGGCCAAAGCCCCGGGGGCCCUAGGUGCCUCCGGUUGCCGUCGUCGACACGGCCGGUACCCGCACGCCGAAAGGCGUGUCCCUUGGCGCACUGCGCUGCAACGGCCUGCGGGCUCCCCAUCUGACCCGUCUUGAAACACAGACCAUGGAGUCUGACAUGCGUGCGAGUCGACGGGUUUUGGAACCUGGGAUGCGCAAGGAGGCUGACGAGUGGGAGGCCCUCACGGGCCGCACCGUUGGCCGACCCUGAUCUUCUGUGAUGUGUUCGAGUUGGAGCACGCCUGUCGGGACCCGAAAGAUGGUGAACUAUGUCAGAGCGGGGCUAAGCCAGAGGAAACUCUGGUGGAGGCUCGAAGUGAUACUGACGUGCAUAUCGUUCGUCUGACUUUGGUAUAGGUGCGAAAGACUAAUCGAACCAUCUAGUAGCUGGUUCCCUCUGAAGUUUCCCUCAGGAUAGGUGGAGCCCAUUACGAGUUCUAUCAGGUAAAGCCAAUGAUUAGAGGCAUUGGGGACGCAACGUCCUCGACCUAUUCUCAAACUUUAAAUAGGUAGGAUGGCUCGGCUGCUUCGGUGAGCCGUGCCACGGAAUUGGGUGCUCCAAGUGGGCCAUUUUUUGGUAAGCAGAACUAGCGAUGCGGGAUGAACCGGAAGCCGGGUUACAGUGCCCAACUACGCGCUAACCUAGAACCCACAAAGGGUGUUGGUCGAUUAAGACAGCAGGACGGUGGUUAUGGAAGUCGAAAUCCGCUAAGGAGUGUGUAACAACUCACCUGCCGAAUCAACUAGCCCCGAAAAUGGAUGGCGCUGAAGCGCGCGACCCACACCCGGCCAUCUGGGCGAGCGCCAUGCCCCGAUGAGUAGGAGGGCGCGGCGGACGCUGCAAAACCUGGGGCGCGAGCACGGGUGGAGCGGCCGUCGGUGCAGAUCUUGGUGGUAGUAGCAAAUAUUCAAAUGAGAANGCCAAUGAUUAGAGGCAUUGGGGACGCAACGUCCUCGACCUAUUCUCAAACUUUAAAUAGGUAGGAUGGCUCGGCUGCUUCGGUGAGCCGUGCCACGGAAUUGGGUGCUCCAAGUGGGCCAUUUUUUGGUAAGCAGAACUAGCGAUGCGGGAUGAACCGGAAGCCGGGUUACAGUGCCCAACUACGCGCUAACCUAGAACCCACAAAGGGUGUUGGUCGAUUAAGACAGCAGGACGGUGGUUAUGGAAGUCGAAAUCCGCUAAGGAGUGUGUAACAACUCACCUGCCGAAUCAACUAGCCCCGAAAAUGGAUGGCGCUGAAGCGCGCGACCCACACCCGGCCAUCUGGGCGAGCGCCAUGCCCCGAUGAGUAGGAGGGCGCGGCGGACGCUGCAAAACCUGGGGCGCGAGCACGGGUGGAGCGGCCGUCGGUGCAGAUCUUGGUGGUAGUAGCAAAUAUUCAAAUGAGAACUUUGAAGGCCGAAGAGGAGAAAGGUUCCAUGUGAACGGCACUUGCACAUGGGUAAGCCGAUCCUAAGGGACGGGGUAACCCCGGCAGAUAGCACGAUCACGCGCAUCCCCCGAAAGGGAAUCGGGUUAAGAUUUCCCGAGCCGCGAUGUGGCGGUUGACGGCGACGUUAGGAAGUCCGGAGACGCCGGCGGGGGCCUCGGGAAGAAUUAUCUUUUCUGCUUAAUGGCCUGCCAACCCUGGAAACGGUUCAGCCGGAGGUAGGGUCCAGUGGCCGGAAGAGCACCGCACGUCGCGCGGUGUCCGGUGCGCCCCCGGCAGCCCAUGAAAAUCCGGAGGACCGAGUACCGUUCACACCCGGUCGUACUCAUAACCGCAUCAGGUCUCCAAGGUGAACACCAUCUGGCCAAUGGAACAAUGUAGGCAAGGAAUGUCGGCAAAACAGAUCCGUAACUUCGGGAAAAGGAUUGGCUCUGAGGACUGGGCUCGGGGGUCCCGGCCUCGAACCCGUCGGCUGUUGGCGGAUUGCUCGAGCUGCUCACGAGGCGAGAGCGAGUCGCCGCGUGCCGGCCGGGGGGCGGACCGGGAAUCGCCCCUUCGGGAGCUUUCCCCGAGCAUGAAACAGUCGACUCAGAACUGGUACAGACAAGGGGAAUCCAACUGUUUAAUUAAAACAAAGCAUUGCCAUGGU
rnacentral:rRNA from 1 species